UGGCAAGUUUCUGCACAGUAAAGCAGCUUUCUGCAUUGUAACUCCUGAGGUGUACGCACUGCCAAGCCACUUGGUGCGCAGAAUCUGUGGAGUUGCAGCGCUGG